CAACGCCUAAACAUUUUAGAAACUCUGACAACGCGAGUCACUUUGGCCGUCUAACGCAGCCGCCAAGUGCCGUCUGAAGCUAUCGCCGCACCACCACCGCCGGCCCUGUUCUCCCGUCCUCUUCCAGCAACCCUUGUCUCCCCCUUUAUUCCUCCUCAGCCACCGAAUUGAAAAGGCGAUUGGAAGCCGCGUUCUGUCUAUUUCUGUCUCGCCAUGGCUUCAGAUAGCUUAGCUUUGUCAGGUCUACAAAUUUGGACUCCUGGACUUCUGAGCAACUUAAGACAAUGGUUUUUGGAGGCAACAACUGGGCGCAAGUUUUCUUUAAGCAGCAUGGGUGGACAGAUGGUGGCAAAACUGAGGCAAAGUAUACAUCUAGAGCAGCUGAGUUGUAUAAGCAGAUACUUUCAAAAGAGAUACCCCAAGGACAACAUGAAUGAUGAGAAGCCCAAGCCUGAAACUACACAUUCACCUGAAGCUCCUAUCCGUUCUACCGUCUUAUCCUCUAUCAAGAAACCCAUUGGUACGAAGAAGACCGGAGGGAAGACUGGUGGGCUUGGUGUAAAGAAGCUUACAACAAAGCCAAAUGAAAGUCUCUAUGAUCAGAGGCCUGAAGAACCAGCUCCUGCUGCAACAUCUUUAGCUAAAUCAAAGAUAACAGAUGUCCCAUCAUUUCCUUCUCAGUUUGAGUAUGUGGAGAACACUGCUAUUGAUAAUAAUGCUGGAGGUGCUCAAGUGAUUGAACAUGUUGCUCCACCAAAAUCUUUAAGCUUCUUUGCAGAGUUUGGAGUAGACAGUGGAUUCCAGAAAAAGUUAAGCUCAACUUCAUCAAAGGUGCAGGAAAGUAAUGAGGCAAGGCAGAAAUUCUCGAAUGUCAAGUCAAUUUCUUCAGCACAGUUCUUUGGAGAAAACAAAACAAGUAGUGAGAAUGAGACGCACAGGACGCUGCAAAGGUUCACAGUGUCAGUAUGUGCAAUUUACAACCAUAAUUUGUGUCAAAGACUCCAAAGCCAUUUCAAAUGCCGAUCUGUUUGGUAAUGGUACAUAAGAUCCUGGUCUAGCUUUUGCUACUGCAGAUCUCAUCAACCGUGUCUCUUUCCAGGCGUCUGAGGAUUUAUCUUCCCUCACGAACAUUGCUGGGGAGACUCGCAAGAAAUUGACUUCCAUUGCUUCCAGCCUUAUCUAUGAUCUUCAGGAUAGAAUCCUUUAGCUGAGUUAGCGCAUUAUCAGUGACUGGCUGCUCAACCACAAGUCUACAACGAUUGGUUCAAAACAUCACAAACGUUUUUUUUCUAGAGUUGUUACUGAAAUUUGGUUAUUGUACGCAUUUUCUACUUACAUUCGAUUUGUUAUGUAGCUAUUAUUUCAUCAAACAGAAGUUUGUGUAUCUCAUUUGAACUAUUUACUCGGAUCAAUAUUUGUUUUGUAUUUAAAAAUGAACGUAUCCAUGUUUCUCAUGAGUACAUAUAUGGCGUGGACCCAAAUAA